rnacentral:rRNA from 1 species
AUUGAACGCUGGCGGCGUGCUUAACACAUGCAGGUCGAGCGGUAACAGGCGUAGCAAUACGUGCUGACGAGCGGCGAACGGGUGAGUAAUGCUUCGGAAUCUUCCUUGUAGUGGGGAAUAACCUGGGGAAACUCAGGCUAAUGCCGCAUACGAACCAUGGUUGAAAGCGGGGGAUCGCAAGACCUCGCGCUAUAAGAUGAGCCGAAGUCGGAUUAGCUAGUUGGUGGGGUAAAGGCCUACCAAGGCGACGAUCCGUAGCUGGUCUGGGAGGACGACCAGCCACACUGGGACUGAGACACGGCCCAGACUCCUACGGGAGGCAGCAGUGGGGAAUAUUGGACAAUGGGGGCAACCCUGAUCCAGCGACGCCGCGUGUGUGAAGAAGGCCUGCGGGUUGUAAAGCACUAUUAGUGGGGACAAAAAGCCGAGGGCUAAUACCUUUCGGUCUUGAUUUAACCCAAAGAAAAAGCACCGGCUAGCUCUGUGCCAGCCGCCGCCGUAACAC